GCCCUAGAUAAUAUCUAAGGUGUAACCUGCCCAAUGGUUUUUAAUUAAGAAUUAAUAAAAGUUAUUUAAUAGAACUUAAAGGACGCAGUAACCUUGACUGUGAUAAUGUAGCAUAAUCACUCGCCAUUUAAUUGAUGGAUAGUAUGAAUGGUUGAACGAAUAUUCCACUGUCUUAAAGAGAAACACUAAAAAAUUGAAAUAAUAGUUAAGAUGCUAUUUAAAAUUGUAAGACGAAAAGACCCUAUAGAGCUUAACUAUAAUCUCUCUAACAUACCAAAAAAUAAAUUCAAAGUCUAGAGAGAGCGGUAGUUUAGUUGGGGCGACUGUCUUCUAGAAUAAACGAAGACAAGCGAAGUUAAUAAAGAACUUAUUGUAUAACAUAUAAAUUUAACAAUUACAAAAGUAGGCUAUAAUGACCCGUUAUGUAUUUAUAAUAAUCAUAACGAUCAAUAAAUAAAAGCUACCUUAGGGAUAACAGGAUAAUUUUAUUUUAGAGAUCAUAUCGAAGAUAAAGUUUGUCACCUCUAUGUUGAAUUAAGAUAUCCUGGCAAUGCAGAAGUUGUCAAAGGUAGGUCUGUUCGACCUUUAAAAUCUU
rnacentral:rRNA from 1 species